GAAGAAGCAAUAGCGAAAUCGUGGCUUGACGGACAGAAAUCCAAUACUAAGGCGUAUCAAGCGGACAAGUUUGCAAUAGACAACAAAGUUCCCAAAGGUAACCGUAAUCUUGAUGCGUAGAUUGGGCGAGUAAACGAUAAAAGAUG
rnacentral:ncRNA from 1 species